AGGGUUGUAGUUAAAAAUAACAUUUGAAUUGCACUCAAAAAGUACUGAUUACAGUCUACCUUA
rnacentral:tRNA from 2 species